UGAGUGUCCCUGUUCAAUAUACUAACACCUACCAAUAAUUUUCACUUUAGUUGUGGGAAGCUGCUCCUCCUAGAUGCAAUCCACUGAAGACUCCAAAAGGACAGGGAAAACUCCAGAGUAACAAGGACAACAUCCACCUGUAAAAGAAAAAUAAAGUAUAUCAAACAGG